rnacentral:lncRNA from 1 species
GUGAGCUAAAUUAAGAUAAAAUGAAAAAACAGGGAGUGACAAAAAAUAUUGCAGACAUCAUGAAGAUUAUCCACUCAUCUUGAAGAUUAACAGAAAAGAAAACAAACGUCAACAC